rnacentral:rRNA from 1 species
AGUCGUAACAAGGUUUCCGUAGGUGAACCUGCGGAAGGAUCAUUAACAAGUCUGCUGUCUGUUCUUGUGCUGGCGUAGAAGCACCCCUUCUGCGUCAAGUGCAAGGACGACAUUUGUUCCAUGUUGCACGUUCACUCUGCACAUGACACUCUACGAAUCAUCUGAUCAUCGACAAUGUUCAUAAACUAAUAACUUUUAACAAUGGAUCUCUAGGCUCCUGCAUCGAUGAAGAACGCAGUGAAGUGCGAAAAGUAAUGCGAUUUGCAUGCUCUGUGAGUCAUCGAAUCUUUGAACGCAUAUGGCACCUCUUGGUUCCUACUAAGAGGUAUGCCUGUUUGAGAAUCAUUCAUCCCUUUUGAUCCAUUGGGUCACGCAUCCACUUUGGCUGUUGAUCCCAGUUGGUCAAGACAUGGGACCUUCAUCACUGAUCGUCUUGAAUGCAGGCACGGGUUGUUCGUGAGAGUGGAAGCCAAUUUUAUUGAUCGACCAAUCCCCAUUAUCCCAGUGAUCUCAAAUCAGGCAAGACUACCCGCUGAACUUAA